GGAGCUCAAAGCCAAGGAGUUCCAGGGGUCGCAGGGCGGGGCAAAACGCGAUCACGGUGCCAGGGCUUGAGAAAAACCAAACUAAGAUGCCUUCCCUGCCCUCAGGGAGCCCAUCAUCAAUGGCCUGUGUUUUGUUAAACCACAAUUAUUCCAGGAGCAGGACAUCACAUUUCUACAGCACUCCAAACUGUCUGCCUUGUCAGAGUGACUGUCAUACUGUAUGCCAAAGCUCGUCUGGCUGAACAACAGCUGUGCUCCAAGCAGUCAUCUCAGGAGGUAGUCAGCCUAACGAUCUAGGUUGCCAUUUAUGGAUCUAAAUUAAGAGCCAUCCAUGGCAUUCUGAUCCAGUGUGCACUCCUGAUGGUCAUUCAGCUCAUUUUCUUGGACAGCCGUGUUGUCAGAACCUUGGUUGGACCCAGACACAUGGAAGAACCCUUGAAUGUUUGCCAUUGACCUCAGGAUAAAGUCCAUAGUACUUGACAUGGCCUUCAGAGGGCUGCCAUGCCC